GCGCCCCUAGCUCAAUUGGUAGCAGCAGAUCCCUCUUAAGGAUAAGGUUCUGGGUUCGAGUCCCAGGGGGCGCACAA
rnacentral:tRNA from 1 species